AGCGGACCAUGGACGAAUCUCUGUUGUUUUAAUUGAUCUAUGACAUCGGGAUUAAAACGUAUCCUUUCAGAUCUCGGACCACAUUGCUGACUGUAGCUUGACAGCUCGGGAACAGGCAAGGAGCUUCUUAGCCCCAGCUCUGUCCCACAGAGAACUCCAGCGAGGGACCACAGCGGGGAACUGGCUGGAAUGCUGGGCAUACCAGGAAGAUUGGCCCCUCAGGCUUGGAAGAUGCUUGCUCAGACUGUGAGAUGCAUGCCUUGCAAACACAAGGACCUGACCUGAACGCCCAGGACCCACAUUAAAACAAAACAGACAAACAAACAACACAAAAGACUGAAAUUGUAAUGGAGAAAGGAAGGUUGGUCCUUCGGGCUCACUGGCUGGCCAGCCUACCCUGCUAGAUAAGUUUCAGGCCAGGGUGGGAUCUGAUGUCCUGUUCAGAAAGGUGGAUGGCUGUUGAGAAACAACACUCAGACUCAGAUACCACACACCCACACCCACCCACACACACACACACAGAGCACUCACCACACACAUGUAUACCCAUCACCCACACACAUACACCCUACACACACUCCACACACACACAUAUACCACACAUACACACACCACAUACAUAUACAUACAUCCCCCACACACAUACCACACAUACACAUACUACACAUAUACACAUCACAUGCAUAUACACACUACACACAAAUACAUACCACAUCUCUCUCUCUCACACACACACACACACACAUGCACACACUACACACAUAUACACACCAUAUAUACAUACACAUAGCACACACACCAUGCAUAUACAUAAAUACUUACAACACAAAUAUACAUAUAGCACACCUUCAGACCCCCCCCCAUACACACACAUUUUAAGCAGAGCAGGAGAGAUGAAGGGAGGGGAGAAGGGAGGGAGGAAGGGAUGUGAAGAAAUCCUUAUCAGCACCUUUACUUUUCACUGCUACUAUUUGUUGUUCUCAACUGCCUCAGUUUUGCAGUAAGUUUAUUUAUUUUUUAUUUUAUUACAUGUGUAUGUGUGUGUGUGUGUGUGUGUGUGGCUGCGUGCGUGCAUGCGUGCGUGCACAGUGGUUGGAGGGAUGAGAGAACAUCCUUGGGAGUUUGUUCUCUCUUCUCACUGUGGGUUUCAGGAACUGUACUCAGGUCAUCAGACCUGGUGGCAAUUCCCUGAGCUUUCUCACUGGCUCUGAUUUGUUUCAUUAUCUUUUAACAUUUAUUUCAUUUUUAAUUAUGUGUGGAGGGGAUGUGCGUGUAAGUGCAGGUGCUCUCAGAAGCCAGAGGUGUUGGACUCCCUGGAGCCCGGGUUGUGUGCUGCCUGGUGUGGCUGCUGGAAUCCAGAUCCAGACCCUGUGCGGAGCAGUACAUGCUCUUAGCCACCGAGCCACCCCUCCAGUCAGUUUUAUUUUUUUGAGGCGUGGUUUUGAAGAAUAAAAAAUUACUGGCCUCUUGUGAGAACAUGAACUUUCACCUCGGAGCCCACCCCCUCCCAUCUGGAAAACAUACUUGAGAAAAACAUUUUCUGGAACAACCACA
rnacentral:lncRNA from 1 species